GUAGUCUGCAACCCGACUACAUGAAGCUGGAAUCGCUAGUGAUCGCGAAUCAGAAUGUCGCGGUGAAUACGUUCCCGGGUCUUGUACACACCGCCCGUCACACCAUGGGAGUCGGUAACGCCCGAAGCCUGUGACCCAACCGUAAGGAGGGAGCAGUCGAAGGUGGGACCGGUGACUGGGGUGAAGUCGUAACAAGGUACC
rnacentral:rRNA from 1 species